rnacentral:snoRNA from 1 species
AUGGUGAUGCGGGCAAUCUCUGAUUAGAGACUUGAAUCUCUCCUAUGCAUGAUAGAGAUUUUCGUUUGGCUUCUGCUUGAAACUUAAGAUCUCACUCCUCACCUU